rnacentral:RNase_P_RNA from 1 species
UCAGAGGGCGGGGUGAUCGCUCGUCGGUACUGCACCGGCGGGAGGAAAGUCCGGGCUCCGCAGGACAGGAUGGUCGAUAACGUCGACCGGCCGUGAGGCUAGGGAAAGUGCAACAGAGAGUAGACCGCCGAACGGUCCGCGCGGGGUUCGCCCCUGCGGAUGCGUGGUGAGGGUGAAACGGUGCGGUAAGAGCGCACCAGCGAUCGGGGUGACUCGAUCGGCUCGGUAAACCCCAUCCGGAGCUAGACCAAACAGGGUGCAGAAGCGGUCCGCUUCGCGAUCGACACCCGGGUAGGUCGCAAUGGAGGCGACGAGCAAUCGUCGUGCACAGAUAAAUGGUCGCCACCAUCGACGUCGCCGGACUCUGGUCCGGUAAGGCGUUCGAUCGGUACAGAACCCGGCUUACAAGCCCUCUGGUCGU